UUUCAUAUGCACGCAUACACAUCCGUCUUUUAUUUCUUACGUAUAAAAAUUUUUUCUAAAUAACUUGAAUUAUUGGCUUUACCAUUUACAGAACUGGUAAGUAAAUGCUUAGUACUAGUGUGUCUUAUGAAAAUGCAGUUUGUAUUAACUUGCCUUUAUUUGAAUUAAUGUAUAUUAAAUGUGAAAAUAAUAGACUAACUUUUUUUUCACAAAUUAUCUUGAGCUUUUCUCUCAACAGAGGAUCACAGGCUUUAAAAUUUUUCAACACACAUCAAUUAAAAUGCCAGUUACAAAGACAUCCAGACUGUGCAAAUGUGAAGCAGUGGAAGGGUGGACCUGUCAAGAUUGACCCUCUGGCUUUGGUACAAGCCAUCGAGAGAUACCUUGUAGUUAGAGGGUAUGGAAGAGUAAGAGAAGAUGAUGAAGACAGCGAUGACGAUGGAUCAGAUGAGGAAAUAGAUGAGUCUCUGGCUGCUCAGUUCCUAAAUUCAGGAAAUGUAAGACACAGGCUGCAGUUUUAUAUUGGAGAACAUUUGCUGCCGUAUAACAUGACUGUGUAUCA
rnacentral:sRNA from 1 species